rnacentral:rRNA from 1 species
AGCAGCCGCGGUAAUUCCAGCUCCAAUAGCGUAUAUUAAAGUUGUUGCAGUUAAAAAGCUCGUAGUUGAAUUUUGGAUCUGACCAAAUGGUCCGCUUUUCGCGAGUACUGUUUUGUGCCGGGUCUAUCCUUCUGGUGAGCUGGUAUGCCCUUUAUUGGGUGUGUCAGGGAACCAGGACCAUUACCUUGAAAAAUUAGAGUGUUAAAGCGGGCAUAAGCUUGAAUAGAUUAGCAUGGAAUAAUAGAAUAGGACGUUGUGGUUCUAUUUUGUUGGUUUCUAGGACCACCGUAAUGAUUAAUAGGGAUAGUUGGGGGCAUUAGUAUUCAAUUGUCAGAGGUGAAAUUCUUGGAUUUAUUGAAGACGAACUACUGCGAAAGCAUUUGCCAAGGAUGUUUUCAUUAAUCAAGAACGAAAGUUGGGGAUCGAAGACGAUCAGAUACCGUCGUAGUCUCAACCAUAAACUAUGCCGACUGGGAAUCGGGCGUAUUGUUUAUUUUUUGACUCGCUCGGCGCCCGAGGG